UACGAAUGGGGCAAGCGUUGUUCGGAAUCACUGGGCUUAAAGCGUGCGCAGGCGGCCAAGCAAGUCAGAAGUGAAAUCCCUGGGCUCAACCCAGGAAUUGCUUUUGAAACUGCUCGGCUAGAAUCCCGGAGAGGUUAGUAGAAUUCCGAGUGUAGAGGUGAAAUUCGCAGAUAUUCGGAGGAAUACCAGUGGCGUAAGCGACUAACUGGACGGGCAUUGACGCUCAGGCACGAAAGCAUGGGGAGCAAACAGG
rnacentral:rRNA from 1 species